rnacentral:lncRNA from 1 species
UAGUUCAAACGGCUGCAUCGCGGACAAGGCAGGCAGCGCAGCAUUUCGCACACAAUGGAUCCAUAUAUCCGUCUUGUCACAGGCGAAAAAAAAGACAUG